CAGAUUGAACGCUGGCGGCAGGCCUAACACAUGCAAGUCGAGCGCUUCCCUUCGGGGAGGAGCGGCGGACGGGUUAGUAACGCGUGGGAAUAUACCCAGUUCUAAGGAAUAGCCAUUGGAAACGAUGAGUAAUACCUUAUACGCCCUUCGGGGGAAAGAUUUAUCGGAGAAGGAUUAGCCCGCGUUAGAUUAGGUAGUUGGUGGGGUAAUGGCCUACCAAGCCUACGAUCUAUAGCUGGUUUUAGAGGAUGAUCAGCCACACUGGGACUGAGACACGGCCCAGACUCCUACGGGAGGCAGCAGUGAGGAAUCUUAGACAAUGGGCGCAAGCCUGAUCUAGCCAUGCCGCGUGUGUGAUGAAGGCCUUAGGGUCGUAAAGCACUUUCGCCAGAGAUGAUAAUGACAGUAUCUGGUAAAGAAACCCCGGCUAACUCCGUGCCAGCAGCCGCGGUAAUACGGAGGGUGCGAGCGUUAAUCGGAAUUACUGGGCGUAAAGCGCACGCAGGCGGUUUGUUAAGCUAGAUGUGAAAGCCCCGGGCUCAACCUGGGAUGGUCAUUUAGAACUGGCAGACUAGAGUCUUGGAGAGGGGAGUGGAAUUCCAGGUGUAGCGGUGAAAUGCGUAGAUAUCUGGAGGAACAUCAGUGGCGAAGGCGACUCCCUGGCCAAAGACUGACGCUCAUGUGCGAAAGUGUGGGUAGCGAACAGGAUUAGAUACCCUGGUAGUCCACGCCGUAAACGAUGUCUACUAGCCGUUGGGACUCUUGAAGUCUUAGUGGCGCAGCUAACGCACUAAGUAGACCGCCUGGGGAGUACGGCCGCAAGGUUAAAACUCAAAUGAAUUGACGGGGGCCCGCACAAGCGGUGGAGCAUGUGGUUUAAUUCGA
rnacentral:rRNA from 1 species